CCUACGGGACGCAGCAGUGAGGAAUAUUGGUCAAUGGGCGGAAGCCUGAACCAGCCAAGUAGCGUGCGGGAUGAAGGCCCUACGGGUCGUAAACCGCUUUUGCACGGGGAUAACACCCUCCACUUGUGGAGGUCUGCAGGUACCGUGCGAAUAAGGGCCGGCUAAUUCCGUGCCAGCAGCCGCGGUAAUACGGAAGGCCCGAGCGUUAUCCGGAUUCAUUGGGCUUAAAGGGAGCGUAGGCGGGCGUUCAAGUCAGCUGUAAAAUCGCGCGGCUCAACCGCGCCCCGCAGUUGAAACUGGACGCAUUGAGUUCACAACAGGCAGGCGGAAUGCGUGGUGUAGCGGUGAAAUGCAUAGAUAUCACGAGGAACCCCGAUUGCGAAGGCAGCCUGCCGGGGUGCGACUGACGCUGAGGCUCGAAGGUGCGGGUAUCAAACAGGAUUAGAUACCCCGGUAGUC
rnacentral:rRNA from 1 species